UUCUUUUCUAGCCAGUAGUUCAAGCGUUCAAGCUCUUGAUCAUUUCCAUUUAUUCUUCAAAGUAGAGGAGGAUAGUGUAGUUUUAAAUUAGAAUCUAUCAAAAACUACCUGUUCAUCUUUUCCCAAACAAGGUUUGUGCACUGUUAACAACUUGCUAUUACUAUCGAUCGAACUCCCCUCGUACAGUCGGGGGUAGGCUAACUGAUAACUGAUUGCACAACGUUUUUGUACUGCUGUUUGACUCAAAUUUAUAGAUGUGUCGACAUAGUCAUUGGUUUAAUUGAGAGAAUAUGAUGUUAUUCAGCUGUUAUUUUGUUGUGCAGAAGCAGAGAGUUUUUCUGAUUUUGUCUUUUUUGUUUGAGACUGUAUUUCUAGAUCGUGAUGGACUGUGAUGGUGUCCCUGUCCCUGUGACUUGAAGAUGAAGAAACAAACAAACUGCAAGGUGAUAAAAAGUACCAAUAGGUUUAUAAAUGUGACCCUAGGCAUCGAUUAUACGCCAAGUGACCUGUUUACUGGUCAUCUCAGCUCUCAACUGUUGGAUGACUUCCAACUAUGGAAGUUUCGCCACCAUAACGGAAUCUCUUCUGGAACCAUAAAACGUGACGUACCCUCGAUUUAAAAUUCACAGCAGUUUCUCCAUUUCAACUGAAGUAUCAACCUGUAUUGCAGUGCCGGCAACCUGUAAAUGAAAAAAUGAGGAAGCUUUUGCCAUCCAUUUUUCUAAUCGUCAUGUUCACGGGGACCGUAUCUGCUCGUGUCUGGAAUUACGCCGAGGGUAACCAUGUUCGUUGGUCGGGAAAUUGCAAUUUCAGUGGCUACGACUUCCAGCAAGUUCACGUGUCAAACGACAAGUGCGGAAGAGCUUGUCUCGACCACUGGGCCUGUACUCACUUCAGCAACACUUGUAAUACCUGUUUUCUAAAGAGGAAUACGGCCGGAUGGACUGAACAAUUUUCCCGUUACGAAGACUGCGGAUUCAUCCCUGGCCGCAGCAACCAAAGCACUGAUCCUCAAAAAACUACUAUUGAAAGUUAUGGGACUUAUUAACAAUUUUUACGUUCCCUCUAUGUUUUAUUGGAAGAUGAAGUGGACAUCACUACACAUUUUUCCCAGAAGAAUUUUAAGUUUUUUCAUGUUUCCUUAUCUUUAAUUCUGUAUGUUUACUUGCGAAAAUCAUACAACAUGUGGCUGAAAUAAUCAUGUUUUAUUUUUGCUAAUCUAUUUUCUUUACUAACGAAGAUGUAGCUAUUGGUUUGGAGUCCAUGUUCUACGUGAAUUUUGAAUUCCGCUUUCAUUUUGGAAUUAUAAAAAUAAAUAAGCCUAAAAAUGCAA